rnacentral:rRNA from 1 species
AUUGAACGCUGGCGGCAGGCCUAACACAUGCAAGUCGAACGAGUGGCGGACGGGUGAGUAAUGUCUGGGAAAUUGCCCGUUGGAGGGGGAUAACUACUGGAAACGGUAGUCAAUACCGCAUACCAUCGGAUGUGCCCAGAUGGGAUUGGCUUGUAGGUGGGGUAACGGCUCACCUAGGCGACGAUCCCUAGCUGGUCUGAGAGGAUGACCAGCCACACUGGAACUGGAACACGGUCCGAACUCCUACGGGAGGCAGCAGUGGGGAAUAUUGCACAGUGGGCGCAAGCCUGAUGCGGACAUGCCGCGUGUAUGAAGAAGGCCUUCGGGUUGUAAAGUACUUUCAGCGGGGAGGCGUUACCCGCAGAAGAAGCACCGGCUAACUCCGUGCCAGCAGCCGCGGUAAUUC